GAGAUUCAGGACACAUCCAAGGGUGACAGCUUGAGGUUGGGUUUUUAUUUUUUUAUUUGUAUAGUACAAUCUCUGUGGUAGCAGAAAUAUAUGCACAAAAAACAAUUCAAAUAAGAGUUCAGAGUAAAAAAAAGUCAGCUAAGACUGUAUCCCGCAGGACAUUUCAUAUAUAUGGAUUUCACAGCUACACUCGAUCCACGCCCCACACCACAUACAGGCUGCUGUCUCCCACAAGAAUGAUGAUGUCAGGGGCAUCAGGAAAGGAGGGGAGAGCUCUGCUCCACACGCUGGCGGCCUUGGCUGCUCCAGAGCAAUCCGCUGCUCCAGCUUCAGCCAUGGGACCAAGAGGGUAAAGGAGCAGCUUCUGGAGGCCCCAGGCAGAGGCCACCUUGCAGCAGUGACUGGCGACUUUGCAGUACAUCUCUGCUCACUUGCUGUCCCUUGGGAGUGAGCACCGUCUAUAACACAUCGCCAUCUACAAAAGCCUGGUCACAGUGUUCACCAGCACAUUCAUGAAAAUUUAAAUCAACAUUAACCAAAGUACCUGCAAGUAACACUGCUUACUCUUGCUGUUUGCCUCAUCUGACUGGAAACCUUAGCCCCCAAAUAUGAAAUGCCUUCUCUAGAUUAAAAGGAUUCAGAGAUGUUG
rnacentral:lncRNA from 1 species